GCUCAGUCAGGGGACAGAGCGCAGCCUCAGCACCUCGGACACAUGAAAAACACUCGCUUACACACUGCGGAUGAACGGCCGUCCCACGCUCUCGGCUCGUGCACGGACUUGCAAAAAAAAAAAAAAAAACGCCUUCUGAUAACGGAUACAAACACACCGUUCAACAAGGAUAUCUCACCCAAAGCCCGCCGCGGACAAGCAGCCUCGGCAGAUGGUGUGGGAUCUAUCGAUCUAGUCCACGCGCUCACCUGUUUGUCAAAGCCAGGCUGCACAAACUCAUGUGUCCUGCACAUCUGGAGCCUGGACGAGUCUACCGACCGGAUGUUUAGGUCUCCCUGAAUGCAGGAGGCACGAUGUGGAAGAAGCUUCCGACUUUCCUUUGGCUGCUAGAGAAAACAACGGAGCCUGUUCCUGUCUUUGGUUAUCUAGCUGUAUGAGUGUUAAUCCUCCAUCAUAAAGCUAGAUAACCGAAAGUAGGAAUGACCUCCAAACCUUCAACUCCCUGCCUUAAUGAGAAUAAACAAGAAGAGAAACACAAGAGGACAUCUCGUCAUUUCAGGACCAUAAAGAUGAUGAUGAUGCCGUCAUGCUGUGAAGGAUCUCCAGAGCUGUAUCAUUGUGUUACACAGGGCAAUACAUGGGUUUUUGGUCUUUGUGCAAUAGAGCUGCUUAGCCAUAAUUCAUACAUAAUAAUAGUUUGAAUGAGUUUUGAUAAUGAUAAAGAAAGUUUGAAAGAUAUAACAUGUCAGUGUUAUUUAUUUGCUCUUUGAGAAUUAUUUCUGAAAACGGAUCAAAACAUGUAAAUGGUUUUUGACCGAAAUGUGAUCUUUGAUUUAUGACCUAGCUUUCUCUUGACAAAGUUAGAAUGACUUUUUGUUUUUGAAGUUGAUUAUUUGUGAUUUUGGCAAAAGAAUUAAACAAUUCUAAAACUUAAAAGGUUGCUGUUCUCAUUCAUUUACACCUCGUUUAUUUAUUCAUAUGACAUUUGGGCUUAUCAAAGCAAGCUGAAUGACUUGUUUGGCUCUUUACUCCAUACAAUAAAUGUUGGAGA